GACGAACGCUGGCGGCGUGCCUAACACAUGCAAGUCGAACGGAAAGGCCCUGCUUGCAUUGUACUCUAGUGGCGAACGGGCGAGUAACACGUGGGUGAUCUGCCCUUCACUUCGGGAUAAGCCUGGUAAACUGGGUCUAGUACCGGAUAGGAGCCACUUUUGGUGUUAUGGUUGGAAAGUUUUUUCGGUGUAGGAUGAGCUCGCGGGCUAUCUGCUUGUUGGUGGGUUAAUGGCCUACCAAGGCGGCGACGGGUAGCCGGACUGAGAGGGUGGCCGGCCACAUUGGGACUGAGAUGCGGCACAGGCACCUACGGGAGGAAGAAGUGGGGAAGAUUGAACAAUGGGCGCAAGGCUGAUGCAGAGGGGCCGCGGGGGGGAUGACGGCCUUCGGGUUGAAAAAUCCUUUCGCUAGGGACGAAGCUUUUUGUGACGGUACCUAGAUAAGAAGCAACGGCUAACUACGUG
rnacentral:rRNA from 1 species